rnacentral:rRNA from 1 species
ACUCCUACGGGAGGCAGCAGUGGGGAAUAUUGCACAAUGGGCGCAAGCCUGAUGCAGCCAUGCCGCGUGUAUGAAGAAGGCCUUCGGGUUGUAAAGUACUUUCAGCAGUGAGGAAGGUGGUAGUGUUAAUAGCACUAUCAUUUGACGUUAGCUGCAGAAGAAGCACCGGCUAACUCCGUGCCAGCAGCCGCGGUAAUACGGAGGGUGCGAGCGUUAAUCGGAAUUACUGGGCGUAAAGCGCAUGCAGGUGGUUUGUUAAGUCAGAUGUGAAAGCCCGGGGCUCAACCUCGGAAUUGCAUUUGAAACUGGCAGACUAGAGUACUGUAGAGGGGGUAGAAUUUCAGGUGUAGCGGUGAAAUGCGUAGAGAUCUGAAGGAAUACCGGUGCGAAGGCGGCCCCCUGGACAGAUACUGACACUCAGAUGCGAAAGGCUGGGGAGCAAACAGGAUUAGAUACCCUGGUAGCACAGAG